CGCGUAGGCGGUUCGUUAAGUUGCUGGUGAAAUCCCGGGGCUCAACUCCGGGGCUGCCGGCAAGACUGGCGGGCUAGAGCACGGUAGAGGCGGAUGGAAUUCCCGGUGUAGCGGUGGAAUGCGUAGAUAUCGGGAAGAAUACCGGUGGCGAAGGCGUUCCGCUGGGCCGUUGCUGACGCUGAGGCGCGACAGCGUGGGGAGCAAACA
rnacentral:rRNA from 1 species